UACGAGGAGGCGAAGCGUUAUCCGGAAUUAUUGGGCGUAAAGAGCUCGUAGGCGGUUUGUCGCGUCUGCCGUGAAAGUCCGGGGCUCAACUCCGGAUCUGCGGUGGGUACGGGCAGACUAGAGUGAUGUAGGGGAGACUGGAAUUCCUGGUGUAGCGGUGAAAUGCGCAGAUAUCAGGAGGAACACCGAUGGCGAAGGCAGGUCUCUGGGCAUUAACUGACGCUGAGGAGCGAAAGCAUGGGGGAGCGAACAGGG
rnacentral:rRNA from 1 species